AAAAAACAACAGGGAUUGCCUCAGUAACGGCGAGUGAAGCGGCAACAGCUCAAAUUUGAAAUCUGGCUCUAGGGCCCGAGUUGUAAUUUGAAGAGGAUGUUUCUGGCAAGGUGCCUUCCGAGUUCCCUGGAACGGGACGCCAUAGAGGGUGAGAGCCCCGUCUGGUUGGUCGCCGCGCCUCUGUGAAACUCCUUCGACGAGUCGAGUAGUUUGGGAAUGCUGCUCAAAAUGGGAGGUGUACGUCUUCUAAAGCUAAAUACCGGCCAGAGACCGAUAGCGCACAAGUAGAGUGAUCGAAAGAUGAAAAGCACUUUGAAAAGAGGGUUAAACAGUACGUGAAAUUGUUGAAAGGGAAGCGCUCAUGACCAGACUUGGGCCGGUUGAUCAUCCAUCGUUCUCGGUGGUGCACUCUGCCGGCUCAGGCCAGCAUCAGUUUGCCGCGGGGGAUAAAAGCUUUGGGAAUGUGGCUCCUCCGGGAGUGUUAUAGCCCACUGCAUAAUACCCUGGGGCAGACUGAGGUCCGCGCUUCUGCAAGGAUGCUGGCGUAAUGGUCAUCAGUGACCCGUCUUGAAACACGGACCAAGGAGUCGUCUUCGUAUGCGAGUGUUCGGGUGUCAAACCCCUACGCGUAAUGAAAGUGAACGUAGGAGAGAGCUUCGGCGCAUCUCCGACCGAUCCUGAUGUUCUCGGAUGGAUUUGAGUAAGAGCAUACGGGGCCGGACCCGAAAGAAGGUGAACUAUGCCUGUAUAGGGUGAAGCCAGAGGAAACUCUGGUGGAGGCUCGCAGCGGUUCUGACGUGCAAAUCGAUCGUCAAAUAUGGGCAUGGGGGCGAAAGACUAAUCGAACCUUCUAGUAGCUGGUUUCCGCCGAAUUCCCCCUCAGGAAAAAGG
rnacentral:rRNA from 1 species